GUUUUAAUAGUUUAAAGUAAAACUUUGGUCUUGUAAACCAAAAAUGAGAAAGUUCUCUUAAAACU
rnacentral:tRNA from 1 species